rnacentral:rRNA from 1 species
CUCAAAGAUUAAGCCAUGCAUGUCUCAGUAUAAACGAUUUAACAGUGAAACCGCGAACGGCUCAUUACAACAGGUAUAAUUUACUUGAUCUUGAAAGAAUCCUACUUGGAUAACUGUGGUAAUUCUAGAGCUAAUACAUGCCCUAAAGCUCUGACCUCGCGGGAAGAGUGCAUUUAUUAGAUCAAAACCAAGCGGCUUCGGCCGUCUACCACUGACUUAAAGUAACUAAGCUGAUCGUAUGGUCUUGUACCGACGACGUAUCUUUCAAGUAUCUGCCUUAUCAACUUUCGAUGGUAGUGUAGUGGACUACCAUGGUUGUGACGGGUAACGGAGGAUAAGGGUUCGGCUCCGGAGAGGGAGCUUGAGACACGGCUACCAUGUCUAAGGACAGCAGCAGGCGCGCAAAUUACCCACUCUCAGAACGAGGAGGUAGUGACGAAAAAUAACGAGACCGUUCUCUAUGAGGCCGGUCAUCGGAAUGGGUACAAUCUAAACCCUUUAACGAGUAUCUAUGAGAGGGCAAGUCUGGUGCCAGCAGCCGCGGUAAUUCCAGCUCUCAAAAUGCAUAGAAUUAUUGCUGCGGUUAAAAAGCUCGUAGUUGGAUCUGUGCUGGGAACUGGGUCCGCCUUCGGGUGUGCACUCAGCUUCCCGGCUUUUUGCUGGUUUUCCCGUUGUGGCCUUUACCGGUUGCAGCGGGUGGCUGGCGAGUUUACCUUGAAGAAAUCAAAGUGCUUAAUACAGGCGAUUUGCUUGAAUGUGGUGCAUGGAAUAAUAGAAAAGGAUUUCGGUUCUCUUUUAUUGGUUUUACGAGCUGAGAUAAUGGUUAACAGAGACAAACGGGGGCAUUCGUAUCGUUGCGUGAGAGGUGAAAUUCUUGGACCGCAGCGAGACGAACUACAGCGAAAGCAUUUGCCAAGAAU